rnacentral:rRNA from 1 species
AGUGAACGCUGGCGGUAGGCCUAACACAUGCAAGUCGAACGGCAGCACAGUAAGAGCUUGCUCUUAUGGGUGGCGAGUGGCGGACGGGUGAGGAAUACAUCGGAAUCUACUUUUUCGUGGGGGAUAACGUAGGGAAACUUACGCUAAUACCGCAUACGACCUACGGGUGAAAGCAGGGGAUCUUCGCACCUUGCGCGAUUGAAUGAGCCGAUGUCUGAUUAGCUAGUUGGCGGGGUAAAGGCCCACCAAGGCGACGAUCCGUAGCUGGUCUGAGAGGAUGGUCAGGCACACUGGAACUGAGACACGGGCCAGACUCCUACGGGAGGCAGCAGUGGGGAAUAUUGGACAAUGGGCGCAAGCCUGAUCCAGCCAUACCGCGUGGGUGAAGAAGGCCUGCGGGUUGUAAAGCCCUUUUGUUGGGAAAGAAAAGCAGCAGGUUAAUACCCCGCUGUUCGGACGGUACCCAAAGAAUAAGCACCGGCUAACUUCGU